CAGCAGUUUUACAUGCAUGAUUUUAUUCAGUCUUAUAAAUCUAUUAGGUACUAUUAUUAUUCCCAUUUUACAAAUGAAGGAACAGACACGCCCGAGAGUUCAAAUAACUUUGCUCAAGAUGGUAAGUGGCAGAACCAGGAUUCAACCCUUCCAGCCUGACGCAACAGCCACAGUCCAAUAUUCAGACAUUCCUGCUGUUAAAGACAUUAUUCAAUGACAUUUGCUAAACCAGAGUAAGGAAGACUUUACUCAGGACUAUCCCUAUACAUUUAGGGACCACUGCAAUGAGGUCUCACAGCAGGGGAGAGAGACUGGGCUCACCUGGGCAAGUGGGGAUUUGUAGCCAAGGAGCAGGGUGGGGGUCAGUGGAUGGAAAAUUACUGAGAGUAAACAUUAGAGGUAAGGGGGAUUCUGGCCAAACAGAGCUAACAGGAUUCUUGCUGAAGACAGGCCAGGGUGAUCAGACAGCACCUGGGGGAUGGUAGAGGAUGAGGAACCUGAUCAGCUAGAAACAGUGUCCAGAUCUCAAGGAUCAGGGAGCUUCUUGCUAGACUGAUUUAGCAGGGCUCUUUGCUAAAACUGGAUUUUACAAGAAAGAAUCUCAGAGGAGAUUCAGAAGCCUAACUGAAGUUUGUCCAAGCAAAGAAUCUUUGUCACUGCACAAGGUGACCUGUAUACAUUCAUCCAGUCAUUCAUUUGGAGCUUUGAGCUUGGUGCUCCAGAGUGACAAAUGACUGAUGGUAGCUCCUGCCACUUGGAUAGCUGUCAGCAGUAAGAGGGAAGCAGAUCUGGAACACAGAAGUACUGACAUCACAGAACCUGAGGAAUCACAGAGUGGGGGCAGAGAUCAUCAAGGCCACCCCUCACUUCACAGAUGGGAAACUGAGGCCCCAGGACCCCCAGAGCUAGAGGCUGAACCUGGCAUGAACCCAAGAGCUCUAGGCAACCAAAUCUGUUCUCUUCCCUUCAAGGGCCUCCCUGCAGGAUUAUGAGAAGCCAAGAUGGUAAAGAGAUAUUUGUAGUUGCCAUCUGGAGAUUCUUUUGGGCAACAUCAUGAUCUCCUGGAAAGAGAGGUUCAGCUGGAACUUGAGGCACUGGGCAACUCUCUGGACGUCAGUGGCAAGCCCGGCCAGACCGAUGUACAACCAACCACCCAUGGGAAAGAUCUCCUGGAAGUCCGUGGUCACCAUCUGGGCCUGGAUCCCGAAGUGCCUGUCUGCAGCGAUGGCCACACGGUUCUUCCCCUUCAUGGCCAUGAUGGCUCCUCCGUUAUAGGACAUAAUAGACAUGAUUGUGUGGUAUACGAGGACCCCUCCAUUGCCGGAGCAAUUCCAGUAAACCGGGUCUAGCCUUCACUCCUGCCCAUCAUUUCUGACAUUUAGACUCUACAUAGAGGGUCCUGAGAUUCCAGGCCUUUACUCAUCCUGCAUCCCCUACCUACUUGGAUGAAUAUUAAUAUUUACAAUAACAGAGAAAAGUUCUCCAGAAUGUCUGGGAGGUGAAAGAAGUUAAAUAAAUGGAAAGUGUUGUUAUUGUUUGCACCAUACUCUAGUUCUUCCAAGGGCCGGCUUCUAAACCUUUCCUGAACAUCUCUUUUCUGAUGAUGUCUCCUCUACAACUCGAGAUCGUGUUCUUGUCACUCUUCCAUGGACAUGGCCACCGCUUUCUAACUGGCUUCUCUGACCCUCCUUGGUUUCCUUUAGAUCCUUUCUGCCAGCAUGGUGAUCUCCCUGAAAUGCAAUUUUGUCCAUCUUACUCUUUUGCUGAAAACCUCCGAUGCUGCUCUAUUGUUUCAACAUGAGAGAGUUUGAGAUUCUCAGUAGGACUUAAGAUUUCUCUGUGACUCACCCCCUCCCUACUGCUCCAGCUCCAUUGCC
rnacentral:lncRNA from 1 species